rnacentral:rRNA from 1 species
CACGUAGGGCGCGAGCGUUUGUCCGGAAUUAUUGGGCGUAAAGAGCUCGUAGGCGGCCUGUUGCGUCCGCUGUGAAAGCCCGGGGCUUAACCCCGGGUCUGCAGUGGAUACGGGCAGGCUAGAGGUAGGUAGGGGAGAAUGGAAUUCCCGGUGUAGCGGUGAAAUGCGCAGAUAUCGGGAGGAACACCGGUGGUGAAGGCGGUUCUCUGGGCCUUACCUGACGCUGAGGAGCGAAAGCGUGGGGAGCGAACAGG